rnacentral:tRNA from 1 species
UUAAAGGUAAGCUAACUAAGCUGUUGGGCUCAUAACUCAAAAAUAGAUUUAUUUCUCCUUUAAA